AGGUUAUUGAGGGCCUGUUUCAUGUUGCUGCCCACACAUUCAAUGUGGUGGACACCGUCUACAUUAUGAAUCACUACUCAGCAGGUGGGAUUUUGUUCAGUGACAGAACUGAACUACCUCGUCACAGUUUACCAAAGGUAAACUUUGACAACUAUGAAGCUGUUCUGUCAUUUGUGCUAGUCAACGGCAACCACUGGAACUUACUGUACAUUAAUGCAGAAACCAGCACAGUAUUUCUGAUGGAUCCAGCACGAUUGUCAUCAGAGCUUGAGGACUCUGAACAUGCUGCUAAAAGAAUACAG